rnacentral:lncRNA from 1 species
CCGCUAAGAAUAAACCAAGCAAAUCACACAAUGGGGCAGCUAAGAAACAGGUGGUCAACACUUUGAAUGUGCUGCAAUAGAUAUUUUGAAGUUGCUCCCUAGCAGGGACACUAUCCGGAAUGACUCGGAAGGUGAAAUAUCCUGCUGCUUUUUAUAGAGAAAUACGAAGCCCAUGUAAGUCAUAGCUCUAUACAUUGACUUGCAGUGUAAAUUUAGUUAGCAGUGAGUCCCACACGGCAGUCGUCCUGAUCAGGUGAGGGAGAUAUAGAGUAACAUUACACAGUUAAUACAUGAAGUUGCCUGCCGCAAAUACAUUAGUUAGAAAUUGGUGUUGCUUAUAAGUAAUAAGUAAUGCACAGCUGGUGGCCCAAAUCAGCCUGGGAGGUCAGGGUGCGGUGCUGUUGAAAUGAACCUGACUCUGGUGAUGCAUGCCCAUCCAAAUCACUUCGAACACAGACGUCUCUGUGAUGGUUGAUGUUGUUCAUGACACUACGCGUGGACGUCAGGAAGAUACAAGUUCCAUCUUACUUGACGAGCUUCCCCCUACUGCUUGACUGCUACAACCUCUUCCUUAAAAACCAUCUUACUUGACGAGCUUCCCCCUGCUUCUUGACUGCUACAACCUCUUCCUUAAAAACCACGACGGCCUCGCACUCGUCAUCAACCGGCAACACCACCAGUUCCUGUAACCGGAGACCAACAGCUACUGGACUGACAACCAGUUCAUUGCACCACGAUACAAAGUACAAUCGGCUUCUUACCAACAUUACAUUACAUCACGGUUCUUGUAGGAACAUUGCAACGGACUAAUGUAACCUAAAGAUCAACAAAUAAAGGCAAACCAAACUUUUUGAAGGGCGACAAGUAAUAUAUUUCUGUAACAAAAAAAUGAAGAUACAUUACUUGAAGUUACCAUCUCGUUUUUUGAUAAGCAAGCAACAUGACCUGACUGAAGAGAGAAAUUGGCAAAACUAACCCGAGCAAUGUGGAGACACCAUAGGAGGAGGGUUGGUAGUGAUGGGUGUAGGGCUUCCCGGACCUCAACUCCACACGUGUUGUUAAUAAUUAUCAGCUAGGCUCUGGUUACUUUGUGCUACCUAAUGCGAAAUUGAGGCCCCAGAAAUGAUACACACAUCGCUAUCAACCCUCCGCCCAUGGCCGUCACUGGAUCACCAAGGCUAGGUUUGCCCACACCUCUUUUUAUUUAGUUCAUGUUGCUUAUCAUUGUUUGUCUUAUUUUUAUUUAUUACUGCCAAAUAUAUUUGUUAAUAUAGUUCAAUAAACUUAUCAUCGUGCAUGGCACAAUAAUAAACUUAUCAUUGUGUGCAAACUUGAGCAUUGUUACCAUCUAAAAGAUUUGUUUUGCCUUUGUGUGAUAAUCUUUAGGCUACACUAGUCAACCGAGAUGUCGCUACAAAGACCAUGGUGCAAUGUAUGGUUUGUCUGGUAGGUAACAACUAAGAAGACACUGACGAUACUUUGUAAUAUGGUGAAAAUAACAAAGUGGCGGUCUCUGGUUACAGGACCCCAAACUCCAAACAAACAAGUUGUACUGUUUUGCUGAUUGAGGACGAGGGCUGCAAUCGAGGAAUAGGUCAUACUAGUCAUGUGGCAAGAGAAAUCACACUGCAAGUCUAGGGAGGGUGUGAAAAAGGGUUGACUCAUGUCGACAUCAUCCGUGGCAGGCACGAAAGAUGCAAAGGAGGCACAGGGGAGGGAGAGCAUGUGGGGGUUAGGCAAAGUAGGAUCUCCCACUAGAGAUCAUCAUCUAGCGGAGGCGCCAUGGGGGACUUUUGUGUUUUAUUCGUGGUUCCAGCAGACUGCCCUCACUUCACUCGGCUAAAAAGAUAUCGACGGUUAGGGCAAGAUGGGCCAAGCCUAAACCUGGGCGUACACCAAGCCGGGCCGGGCUUCGAGCCAGGCUUUGAAAAGCCCGAACCAAAAAUCUCAGGCCCAGGCCCGAGCCCGGCCAGAAAAUGAAAAACUCAGGCCGGAGCCCGGCCCAAACGGACUAAAAAGGGAAUUUCCGAGCCGGGCCAAGCCUCCGUGUAAAAUGGCGAUUUGUGCAAGCCCGAUCCCGGCCCGAACUGCUACCCGGGCUUGUAAACCCGCCCAGAACUGCAAGACUGGUCCAGCCCGGCCCAGGUUUUUCGGGCCAGGCUCGGGCCGGGUCACCGGGCCGGGCUGCCCAUGCCCAGAUUUAGCCAAGCCCAUAUACCACACUAGUUACACAUGAUCCUUGUUGACCAUGCCUUUUUUUUGUAAAAUGAUAACGAAAGCAUGAGUAAGCCCAAUCCAAGGCACACUACCAAAAGACAUACCAUCCACAUGAUCGUCAUAUUUGACACCACAAUAAAGAAAGUCCAUACAAACCCUUGAUACCCUAAUCCUAGUUCAUACAGACAAAACCUAAACCUAGUUUGCCGACAUGAUCGAUGCCAUGUUCAGUCGUCGUAGUUGAUUAGUGCCUGACAACGGACUUGCGCAGCGCACACGCGAGCUCAUGCUCCUUGGCAACCCUGAGCACCUUCUUUGACAUUCACCAGCGCGCGCUGAGCAGCACUAAGUUCAUCGACAGCUGCGCGAGACCUCAUGAAGCGAGGCAUGAUGCUUGCUCAUCGAGUACAUCAAAGCCAGCCCAUGGUCUCGCCCGUCGCUCCAGGAGGGCGAAGCAUGAUCCCACCCCUAGGUCAACCUCCAGGUGCACCGCGCAGCGUCCUCAUUGUUGCUGGAGCUAUAAAUCAUCACCACAACACGACUGGAGAGGCUCACAGACGUGGCCACCAUGGCUUCUACCCGCAUCAACGUGGCUGGAUCUGCCAGCCAUCUAUCUGCCCGAGACGAAGAAGAAGGAGAGGAGAGGAGCGAGAAAUUUCUCACCGAGAUGUCUAACCCUAGCAACGGAGGGGGUCGGAGGGCUAACCGAGCGGAGGGGAUCAGGUGGCUAAGCAGGGCGGAGGGGUAUUUAGGGUUAUUAGUUUAAACAUAUUUACUAUUUUUUAUCACGGUCAAGGUAAGCCAACACUGAUCAGCAAGACCUACAGUAGACACACACGGCAGUAACAAGUUACAAACACAAUGCUGCUGCUGUUGGUUUUAUUUUCUAGUGCAAUCAUCAAUUGCGUCAAAUCUGAGUGAGUAAUUCAGCGGUCUGCAGUCUGUACAAAAUCAAAAGGCACAGGCACCACAUAUAUUACUUACUCCAGAAAUCUGAAGGCAGUAACAAUGCAUAAUUGUUCCGACGAAUCCCACACAACCCUGAGGUCAGCAGCCACUAGUAGUUCACUACCAAAUGCAUAGCCGUCACACAAGUGCAGGUGCAGCGCAGAGGAAGAUUACGGCACGCUGUUUAACGGAGAGGCAGAGCGGUGUACCAUCCAUCACGAAUCGGCCGGACUUCAGGGGAAGGGCGGCAGCCGCAGCACGGCCUGCUCCGUCUCCACGGGGUCGGACCGCGAGAU